GACGAGCGCUGGCGGCGUGCUUAACACAUGCAAGUCGAACGGAAAGGCCCUGCUUUUGUGGGGUGCUCGAGUGGCGAACGGGUGAGUAACACGUGAGUAACCUGCCCUUGACUUUGGGAUAACUUCAGGAAACUGGGGCUAAUACCGGAUAGGAGCUCCUGCUGCAUGGUGGGGGUUGGAAAGUUUCGGCGGUUGGGGAUGGACUCGCGGCUUAUCAGCUUGUUGGUGGGGUAGUGGCUUACCAAGGCUUUGACGGGUAGCCGGCCUGAGAGGGUGACCGGCCACAUUGGGACUGAGCUACGGCCCAGACUCCUACGGGAGGCAGCAGUGGGGUAUAUUGCACAAUGGGCGGAAGCCUGAUACAGCAACGCCGCGUGCGGGAUGACGGCCUUCGGGUUGUAAACCGCUUUCGCCUGUGACGAAGCGUGAGUGACGGUAAUGGGUAAAGAAGCACCGGCUAACUACGUA
rnacentral:rRNA from 1 species